rnacentral:rRNA from 2 species
GACGAACGCUGGCGGCGUGCCUAAUACAUGCAAGUCGAGCGGACAGAAGGGAGCUUGCUCCCGGAUGUUAGCGGCGGACGGGUGAGUAACACGUGGGUAACCUGCCUGUAAGACUGGGAUAACUCCGGGAAACCGGAGCUAAUACCGGAUAGUUCCUUGAACCGCAUGGUUCAAGGAUGAAAGACGGUUUCGGCUGUCACUUACAGAUGGACCCGCGGCGCAUUAGCUAGUUGGUGAGGUAACGGCUCACCAAGGCGACGAUGCGUAGCCGACCUGAGAGGGUGAUCGGCCACACUGGGACUGAGACACGGCCCAGACUCCUACGGGAGGCAGCAGUAGGGAAUCUUCCGCAAUGGACGAAAGUCUGACGGAGCAACGCCGCGUGAGUGAUGAAGGUUUUCGGAUCGUAAAGCUCUGUUGUUAGGGAAGAACAAGUGCAAGAGUAACUGCUUGCACCUUGACGGUACCUAACCAGAAAGCCACGGCUAACUACGUGCCAGCAGCCGCGGUAAUACGUAGGUGGCAAGCGUUGUCCGGAAUUAUUGGGCGUAAAGGGCUCGCAGGCGGUUUCUUAAGUCUGAUGUGAAAGCCCCCGGCUCAACCGGGGAGGGUCAUUGGAAACUGGGAAACUUGAGUGCAGAAGAGGAGAGUGGAAUUCCACGUGUAGCGGUGAAAUGCGUAGAGAUGUGGAGGAACACCAGUGGCGAAGGCGACUCUCUGGUCUGUAACUGACGCUGAGGAGCGAAAGCGUGGGGAGCGAACAGGAUUAGAUACCCUGGUAGUCCACGCCGUAAACGAUGAGUGCUAAGUGUUAGGGGGUUUCCGCCCCUUAGUGCUGCAGCUAACGCAUUAAGCACUCCGCCUGGGGAGUACGGUCGCAAGACUGAAACUCAAAGGAAUUGACGGGGGCCCGCACAAGCGGUGGAGCAUGUGGUUUAAUUCGAAGCAACGCGAAGAACCUUACCAGGUCUUGACAUCCUCUGACAACCCUAGAGAUAGGGCUUUCCCUUCGGGGACAGAGUGACAGGUGGUGCAUGGUUGUCGUCAGCUCGUGUCGUGAGAUGUUGGGUUAAGUCCCGCAACGAGCGCAACCCUUGAUC